rfam:Saccharomyces cerevisiae FostersO chromosome IV FOSTERSO_c4_22, whole genome shotgun sequence.
UUUAAUGAUGAAGAUUUUAAUUUUCCGUUGGUCUAUUAAGAACAGAAGUACUUCAAAMCUACUUUUUUAAGACCAUCCUUUUACAGUAUUUUUUUCAAUAUUGUAAAACUUCUCAUUUACUUUGUGUCUUUAUGAUCUCAUCGUUCUGGUGGACCAUAAUCAGACGCACGGUAUACUUCGUUUCUGUUGGAGAAUAUUGGGAGUCUUUUAAUGUGAUGAGUGGCCAACAUAACCUUAUAGUCAUAGUUACACUGAUU